UACGGAGGGUGCGAGCGUUGUUCGGAAUUAUUGGGCGUAAAGCGCGCGUAGGCGGUCGCGUAAGUCGAGUGUGAAAGCCCAGGGCUCAACCCUGGAAGUGCACUCGAUACUGCAUGACUCGAGUCCUGGAGAGGGUGGUGGAAUUCCUGGUGUAGAGGUGAAAUUCGUAGAUAUCAGGAGGAACACCGGUGGCGAAAGCGGCGCACUGGACCACAACUGACGCUGAGGCGCGAAAGCUAGGGGAGCAAAC
rnacentral:rRNA from 1 species